AUUGAACGCUGGCGGAAUGCUUUACACAUGCAAGUCGAACGGCAGCACGGGGGCAGCCCUGGUGGCGAGUGGCGAACGGGUGAGUAAUACAUCGGAACGUGCCCGGUCGUGGGGGAUAACGUAGCGAAAGUUACGCUAAUACCGCAUACGAUCCGAGGAUGAAAGCGGGGGACCUUCGGGCCUCGCGCGAUCGGAGCGGCCGAUGUCAGAUUAGGUAGUUGGUGGGGUAAAGGCCUACCAAGCCGACGAUCUGUAGCUGGUCUGAGAGGACGACCAGCCACACUGGGACUGAGACACGGCCCAGACUCCUACGGGAGGCAGCAGUGGGGAAUUUUGGACAAUGGGCGCAAGCCUGAUCCAGCCAUUCCGCGUGCAGGACGAAGGCCUUCGGGUUGUAAACUGCUUUUGUACGGAACGAAAAGGCUCUGGCUAAUACCUGGGGCUCAUGACGGUACCGUAAGAAUAAGCACCGGCUAACUACGUG
rnacentral:rRNA from 1 species